rnacentral:lncRNA from 1 species
GGAGCUUAGAAGCUCAAAUACGCAAAUUCUACACAAUUAAGAGAGCUAGUUAGAGAGAAUUGAGAGAUUGAUUCAAAUUUUGAAGAAGCUAUUGUUACAAGUCAUUUUUCUACAUAUUUCUACAUCAUUGCUUCAAACUAUCGAAGAAGAAAAAAUGAUCGGAAAUCAAGAACCAUCGAAGGAAUUCAUGAUUUAAGGCCACUUUCUAUCUUUUUUCCCUAACCCUAAAUUUUGGGUGAUGUUGUAUAUAUUCAUAUUGUGUUUUUGUAAUUUAUUGAUGUCUGGCUAGUAGUUUAUAAUAUUUUAAUAUUAAUUAUAUAAUGUUGGCAUUAAGACA